rnacentral:rRNA from 1 species
AUGAACGCUAGCUACAGGCUUAACACAUGCAAGUCGAGGGGCAUCAGGAAGAAAGCUUGCUUUCUUUGCUGGCGACCGGCGCACGGGUGAGUAACACGUAUCCAACCUGCCCUUUACUCGGGGAUAGCCUUUCGAAAGAAAGAUUAAUACCCGAUAGCAUAAUGAUUCCGCAUGGUUUCAUUAUUAAAGGAUUCCGGUAAAGGAUGGGGAUGCGUUCCAUUAGGUUGUUGGUGAGGUAACGGCUCACCAAGCCUUCGAUGGAUAGGGGUUCUGAGAGGAAGGUCCCCCACAUUGGAACUGAGACACGGUCCAAACUCCUACGGGAGGCAGCAGUGAGGAAUAUUGGUCAAUGGGCGCUAGCCUGAACCAGCCAAGUAGCGUGAAGGAUGAAGGCUCUAUGGGUCGUAAACUUCUUUUAUAUAAGAAUAAAGUGCAGUAUGUAUACUGUUUUGUAUGUAUUAUAUGAAUAAGGAUCGGCUAACUCCGUGCCAGCAGCCGCGGUAAUACGGAGGAUCCGAGCGUUAUCCGGAUUUAUUGGGUUUAAAGGGAGCGUAGGUGGACUGGUAAGUCAGUUGUGAAAGUUUGCGGCUCAACCGUAAAAUUGCAGUUGAUACUGUCAGUCUUGAGUACAGUAGAGGUGGGCGGAAUUCGUGGUGUAGCGGUGAAAUGCUUAGAUAUCACGAAGAACUCCGAUUGCGAAGGCAGCCUGCUAAGCUGCAACUGACAUUGAGGCUCGAAAGUGUGGGUAUCAAACAGGAUUAGAUACCCUGGUAGUCCACACAGUAAACGAUGAAUACUCGCUGUUUGCGAUAUACAGUAAGCGGCCAAGCGAAAGCAUUAAGUAUUCCACCUGGGGAGUACGCCGGCAACGGUGAAACUCAAAGGAAUUGACGGGGGCCCGCACAAGCGGAGGAACAUGUGGUUUAAUUCGAUGAUACGCGAGGAACCUUACCCGGGCUUAAAUUGCAGUGGAAUGAUGUGGAAACAUGUCAGUGAGCAAUCACCGCUGUGAAGGUGCUGCAUGGUUGUCGUCAGCUCGUGCCGUGAGGUGUCGGCUUAAGUGCCAUAACGAGCGCAACCCUUAUCUUCAGUUACUAACAGGUCAUGCUGAGGACUCUGGAGAGACUGCCGUCGUAAGAUGUGAGGAAGGUGGGGAUGACGUCAAAUCAGCACGGCCCUUACGUCCGGGGCUACACACGUGUUACAAUGGGGGGUACAGAAGGCAGCUAGCGGGUGACCGUAUGCUAAUCCCAAAAUCCUCUCUCAGUUCGGAUCGAAGUCUGCAACCCGACUUCGUGAAGCUGGAUUCGCUAGUAAUCGCGCAUCAGCCACGGCGCGGUGAAUACGUUCCCGGGCCUUGUACACACCGCCCGUCAAGCCAUGGGAGCCGGGGGUACCUGAAGUACGUAACCGCAAGGAUCGUCCUAGGGUAAAACUGGUGACUGGGGCU